rnacentral:rRNA from 1 species
CCAAUAGCGUAUAUUAAAGUUGUUGCAGUUAAAAAGCUCGUAGUUGAAUUUCGGGAUCAAUAUUUCGGUCAUGCCGUUGGUAUGCACUGUUAUCAUUGAUUUCUCACCUUCUAAAGAACCGUAAUGCCAUUAAUUUGGUGUUACGGGAAAUUAGGACUGUUACCUUGAAAAAAUUAGAGUGUUUAAAGCAGGCUCACGCUUGAAUACAUUAGCAUGGAAUAAUGAAAUAGGACAUCCGAUUCUAUUUUGUUGGUUUCUAGGAUCGAUGUAAUGAUUAAUAGGGAUAGUUGGGGGCAUUAGUAUUCAAUUGUCAGAGGUGAAAUUCUUGGAUUUAUUGAAGACUAACUACUGCGAAAGCAUUUGCCAAGGAUGUUUUCAUUAAUCAAGAACGAAAGUUAGGGGAUCGAAGACGAUCAGAUACCGUCGUAGUCUUAACCAUAAACUAUGCCGACUAGGGAUCGGAUGAUGUUAAUUUUUUAAUGACUCAUUCGGCGCCUUACG